CCUACGGGAGGCAGCAGUGAGGAAUAUUGGUCAAUGGGCGAGAGCCUGAACCAGCCAAGUCGCGUGAGGGAGUACUGCCCUAUGGGUUGUAAACCUCUUUUGUCGGGGAGCAAAAGCCGGACGUGUCCGGCUGUGAGAGUACCCGAAGAAAAAGCAUCGGCUAACUCCGUGCCAGCAGCCGCGGUAAUACGGAGGAUGCGAGGGUUAUCCGGAUUUAUUGGGUUUAAAGGGUGCGCAGGCGGGUUUUUAAGUCAGCGGUAAAAUCGUGGGGCUCAACCCCAUCCAGCCGUUGAAACUGGGGAUCUAGAGUGUGCGAGAGGUAUGCGGAAUGCGUGGUGUAGCGGUGAAAUGCAUAGAUAUCACGCAGAACACCGAUAGCGUAGGCAGGUUACUGGGACGGUUCUGACACUAAGGCACGAAAGCGUAGGGAGCAAACGGGAUUAGAUACCCGAGUAGUC
rnacentral:rRNA from 1 species